GUUUUCUUUCUUUACUCGUGUGCGUGGCUUUUGAAUAACAAGGACUUCCACUGUUGUGCAAAAAAAUCAUCAAAAUGAGCGGCUCAGCAACGCUGUUUGGCGCUCUGGUGAAAUUCUACGACGAGUACAAUCAAAAGACUCCUCAGAAAACCAAAUUAAUAGACGCAUAUCUCAUGUAUAUAAUGUUUACUGGCAUUAUCCAAUUUGGCUAUUGUCUACUGGUUGGAACAUUCCCGUUCAAUUCGUUCUUAUCUGGCUUUAUUUCGUGUGUAGGAUCCUUUAUUUUGGCAGGU